rnacentral:rRNA from 1 species
GCUUAACACAUGCAAGUCGAGCGGUAAGGCCCUUCGGGGUACACGAGCGGCGAACGGGUGAGUAACACGUGGGUGAUCUGCCUCGUACUCUGGGAUAAGCCUGGGAAACUGGGUCUAAUACCGGAUAUGACCACAUGUCGCAUGGUGUGUGGUGGAAAGAUUUAUCGGUGCGAGAUGGGCCCGCGGCCUAUCAGCUUGUUGGUGGGGUAAUGGCCUACCAAGGCGACGACGGGUAGCCGGCCUGAGAGGGCGACCGGCCACACUGGGACUGAGACACGGCCCAGACUCCUACGGGAGGCAGCAGUGGGGAAUAUUGCACAAUGGGCGGAAGCCUGAUGCAGCGACGCCGCGUGCGGGAUGACGGCCUUCGGGUUGUAAACCGCUUUCGACAGGGACGAAGCGCAAGUGACGGUACCUGUAGAAGAAGCACCGGCCAACUACGUGCCAGCAGCCGCGGUAAUACGUAGGGUGCGAGCGUUGUCCGGAAUUACUGGGCGUAAAGAGCUUGUAGGCGGUUUGUCGCGUCGUUCGUGAAAACUUGGGGCUCAACCCCAAGCUUGCGGGCGAUACGGGCAGACUAGAGUACUGCAGGGGAGACUGGAAUUC